rnacentral:rRNA from 1 species
AGGACGAACGCUGGCGGCGUGCUUAACACAUGCAAGUCAAGGGGGCCCAGCAAUGGGCAACCGGCGAACGGGUGCGUAACACGUGAGCAACCUACCGAAAUGUGGGGGAUAGCCGGCCUAACGGCCGAGUAAUACCGCAUACGCUCUCGAUGAGGCAUUUCAUUGAGAGGAGACCUACGGGACAUUUCGAGGGCUCGCGGCCUAUCAGCUAGUUGGCGAGGUAACGGCUCACCAAGGCAACGACGGGUAGC